rnacentral:rRNA from 2 species
UGGGGAAUAUUGCACAAUGGAGGGAACUCUGAUGCAGCGACGCCGCGUGAACGAAGAAGGCUUUCGAGUCGUAAAGUUCUUUUAUAUGGGAAGAUAAUGACGGUACCAUAAGAAAAAGCCCCGGCUAACUACGUGCCAGCAGCCGCGGUAAUACGUAGGGGGCUAGCGUUGUCCGGAAUCACUGGGCGUAAAGGGUUCGCAGGCGGAAAUGCAAGUCAGGUGUAAAAGGCAGUAGCUUAACUACUGUAAGCAUUUGAAACUGCAUAUCUUGAAAAGAGUAGAGGUAAGUGGAAUUUUUAGUGUAGCGGUGAAAUGCGUAGAUAUUAAAAAGAAUACCGGUGGCGAAGGCGACUUACUGGGCUCAUUCUGACGCUGAGGAACGAAAGCGUGGGUAGCAAACAGG